rnacentral:rRNA from 1 species
UUAAAUUAAUAUAAUAAAUAUUAAAUUAGUAAAAGGUAACUAAAAAAUUAAAAAAUUUGGCGGUAUUUUAUUCUAAUCAGAGGAACUUGUUUUAUAAUUGAUAAUCCUCAUUGAAUCUUACUUAAAUUUGUGAAAUUUGUAUAUCGUUGUCAUAAGAAAAUCUUUUUAAGGAUUAAUUUUCAAUAUUAAUAAAAUUUAAUAAUGUCAGAUCAAGGUGCAGUUUAUAUUUAAGAAAAAAUGAGUUACAAUUAAAUUAUUAAUAUGGAUUUUUAAUUUAAAAUUUUUAAUGAAAGUGGAUUUGAUAUUAAAUUUUUAAAGAUAGUAAAAUUGAUAAAAGUUUUAAAAUAUGU